rnacentral:tRNA from 1 species
AAGGGAGACCUAAUUCCGGUAGGAGACGAAAAAAAAGUAGUCCCAACCAAGAAUCAAUCCCAAAAGGUCGGAGCGAGGCGAAAUUGGCUUUCAAACUAGGUUCUGGGUUCACACAAGACCUGAAUCAGGAACAAGGGCUAUUAGCUCAGGUGGUUAGAGCGCACCCCUGAUAAGGGUGAGGCCCCUGGUUCGAGUCCAGGAUGGCCCACCUGCACAGGUGGCAAAAACAAGAGAAGCUCCGAAUCAGCACCUUAUCUUAUAUACAUAUAUAAGAGAGAAUGCUGGCUCUGAGUACAGAGUCCAGAGGAACCUUGAAAACUGCAUAGAGCUAGGUGAAAAAGCCAAAAAAGAAGACCGCAA